UACGUAGGGGUGCAAGCGUUGUCCGGAAUUAUUGGGCGUAAAGAGCUCGUAGGCGGUCUGUCGCGUCUGACUGGUGAAAACCUCGGGGCUUAACCCCGGGCCUGCAGUGGGUACGGGCAGACUAGAGUGCGGUAGGGGAGACUGGAAUUCCUGGUGUAGACGGUGAAAUGCGCAGAUAUCAGGAGGAACACCAAUGGCGAAGGCAGCUCGCUGGGACGGUACUGACGCUGAGGCGCGAAAGCGUGGGAGCAAACAGG
rnacentral:rRNA from 1 species